GGACAUUUAGCUCAGUGGUAGAGCAUUCGGCUGCAGUCCGACAGGUCUCCGGUUCAACUCCGGAAAUGUCCU
rnacentral:tRNA from 20 species